rnacentral:rRNA from 1 species
UACGUAGGGUGCAAGCGUUGUCCGGAAUUAUUGGGCGUAAAGAGCUCGUAGGCGGUUUGUCGCGUCUGCUGUGAAAAACCCGAAGCUCAACUUCGGGCCUGCAUCCGAAAACUGCCCCGACUAGAGGUAGGUAGGGGGAGACUGGAAUUCCUGGUGUAGCGGUGAAAUGCGCAGAUAUCAGGAGGAACACCGGUGGCGAAGGCGGGGUCUCUGGGCAGUAACUGACGCUGAGGAGCGAAAGCGUGGGGAGCAAACGGG